rnacentral:misc_RNA from 1 species
GAUGAAGAACGUAGCGAAAUGCGAUAAGUAAUGUGAAUUGCAGAAUUCAGUGAAUCAUCGAAUCUUUGAACGCACAUUGCGCCCGCCAGUAUUCUGGCGGGCAUGCCUGUUCGAGCGUCAUUUCAACCAUCAAGCCCCAGGCUUGUGUUGGGGACCUGCGGCUGCCGCAGGCCCUGAAAACCAGUGGCGGGCUCGCUGUCACACCGGGCGCAGUAGCGUACCUCUCGCUCCGGGCGGGGCGGCGGGCGCCGGCCGUGAAACCCCCUACAUCAAAAAGGUUGACCUCGGAUCAGGUAGGAAUACCCGCUGAACUUAAGCAUAUCAAUAAGCGGAGGA